UUUGGUUUGUUAGCACCGCGACGGACUUUAUAACCGGAGAAGUCUGGACGUUAAAAGACGCUUUGGAGCUGUUUCCGUUGAACGCGAGUGAGGCUGAACGCUGAGCACACCUGCGGUUCGAAGGUUUCCUUGUUUCCUUGUUGAGCUGCUGCAGCCUGGACACAAACACCAGCUCUCACCUCACAGGACGUGAAGCAGGAAACACUGGAGCUCAGAGUCGGAGACAUGAAGAUAAACAGAUGUUAAAAGACGCUUUGGAGCUGUUUCCGUUGAACGCGAGUGAGGCUGAACGCUGAGCACACCUGCGGUUCGAAGGUUUCCUUGUUUCCUUGUUGAGCUGCUGCAGCCUGGACACAAACACCAGCUCUCACCUCACAGGACGUGAAGCAGGAAACACUGGAGCUCAGAGUCGGAGACAUGAAGAUAAACAGAUGUUAAAAGGCGCUUUGGAGCUGUUUCCGUUGAACGCGAGUGAGGCUGAACGCUGAGCACACCUGCGGUUCGAAGGUUUCCUUGUUUCCUUGUUGAGCUGCUGCAGCCUGGACACAAACACCAGCUCUCACCUCACAGGACGUGAAGCAGGAAACACUGGAGCUCAGAGUCGGAGACAUGAAGAUAAACAGAUGUUAAAAGGCGCUUUGGAGCUGUUUCCGUUGAACGCGAGUGAGGCUGAACGCUGAGCACACCUGCGGUUCGAAGGUUUCCUUGUUUCCUUGUUGAGCUGCUGCAGCCUGGACACAAACACCAGCUCUCACCUCACAGGACGUGAAGCAGGAAACACUGGAGCUCAGAGUCGGAGACAUGAAGAUAAACAGAUGUUAAAAGGCGCUUUGGAGCUGUUUCCGUUGAACGCGAGUGAGGCUGAACGCUGAGCACACCUGCGGUUCGAAGGUUUCCUUGUUUCCUUGUUGAGCUGCUGCAGCCUGGACACAAACACCAGCUCUCACCUCACAGGACGUGAAGCAGGAAACACUGGAGCUCAGAGUCGGAGACAUGAAGAUAAACAGGUCCAGAUCUUCAUCUUCACCUCCUCCUGCUGCUGGAGUCUCCUCCUCCUCCUCUUCUUCUUCUUCCUGUGGAGACACAACACACUGUUAAUAUCAUACACUCUGAAUAUACCAUUAUUACUUCCUGUUUAAUGUCGUCUCUGUCCUGAU